UGCNAGUCGAGCGGUAACAGACAUAAAGAUUCAGCUUGCUGAAUCCGGUGCUGACGAGCGGCGAACGGGUGAGUAACGCGUAGGAAUCUACCCAGUAGCGGGGGAUAGCCCGAGGAAACUCGGAUUAAUACCGCAUACGCCCUGAGGGGGAAAGGGGGCAGUUUACUGCUCUCACUAUUGGAUGAGCCUGCGUAAGAUUAGCUUGUUGGUGGGGUAAUGGCCUACCAAGGCAACGAUCUUUAGCUGGUCUGAGAGGACGAUCAGCCACAUUGGGACUGAGACACGGCCCAGACAUCUACGGAUGGCAGCAGUUAAGAAUAUUGGACAAUGGGGGCAACCCUGAUCCAGGUAUACCGCGUGUGUGAAGAAGGCCCUAGGGUUGUAAAGCACUUUAAUCAGAGAAGAAGCAUUUUAAGUUAAUACCUUAUUAUGUUGACGUUACCUGAAGAAUAAGGACCGGCUAACUCCGUGCCAGCAGCCGCGGUAAUACGGAGGGUCCAAGCGUUAAUCGGAAUUACUGGGCGUAAAGCGCGCGUAGGCGGUUUAGCAAGUUGUAUGUGAAAGCCCUGGGCUCAACCUAGGAACUGCAUUCAAAACUACUAAGCUAGAGUACGAGAGAGGAGAGUAGAAUUUCUGGUGUAGCGGUGAAAUGCGUAGAUAUCNGAAGGAAUACCAAUGGCGAAGGCAGCUCUCUGGCUCGUCACUGACGCUGAGGUGCGAAAGCGUGGGUAGCAAACAGGAUUAGAUACCCUGGUAGUCCACGCCGUAAACGAUGAGAACUAGCCGUUGGGCAGAUUUAACUGUUCAGUGGCACAGCUAACGCAUUAAGUUCUCCGCCUGGGGAGUACGGCCGC
rnacentral:rRNA from 1 species